rnacentral:rRNA from 1 species
CCUACGGGAGGCAGCAGUGAGGAAUAUUGGUCAAUGGGCGUAAGCCUGAACCAGCCAAGUCGCGUGAGGGAUGAAGGUUCUAUGGAUCGUAAACCUCUUUUAUAAGGGAAUAAAGUGUGGGACGUGUCCUAUUUUGUAUGUACUUUAUGAAUAAGGAUCGGCUAACUCCGUGCCAGCAGCCGCGGUAAUACGGAGGAUCCGAGCGUUAUCCGGAUUUAUUGGGUUUAAAGGGAGCGUAGAUGGGUUGUUAAGUCAGUUGUGAAAGUUUGCGGCUCAACCGUAAAAUUGCAAUUGAUACUGGCAGCCUUGAGUACAGUUGAGGUAGGCGGAAUUCCUAGUGUAGCGGUGAAAUGCGUAGAUAUUAGGAGGAACACCAGUGGCGAAGGCGGCCUACUGGACGGUGACUGACGCUGAGGCUCGAAAGCGUGGGGAGCAAACAGGAUUAGAUACCCUUGUAGUC